GCGGAGGAAAAGAAAAUAACAAUGAUUUCCCUAGUAACGGCGAGUGAAGAGGAAAGAGCUCAAAGUUGGAAACUGUUUGGCUUAGCUAAACCGUAUUGUAAACUGUAGAAACAUUUUCCUGGCACACCAGAUUAAUAAGUCCUUUGGAACAAGGCAUCAUGGAGGGUGAGAAUCCCGUCUUUGAUCUGAGUAGUUGUCUUUUGUGAUAUGUUUUCAAAGAGUCAGGUUGUUUGGGAAUGCAGCCUAAAUUGGGUGGUAAAUCUCACCUAAAGCUAAAUAUUUGCGAGAGACCGAUAGCGAACAAGUACCGUGAGGGAAAGAUGAAAAGAACUUUGAAAAGAGAGUUAAACAGUAUGUGAAAUUGUUAAAAGGGAACCGUUUGGAGCCAGACUGGUUUGACUGUAAUCAACCUAGAAUUCGUUUUGGGUGCACUUGCAGUCUAUACCUGCCAACAACAGUUUGAUUUGGAGGACAAAAUUAAUAGGAAUGUAGCCUCUCGAGGUGUUAUAGACUAUUAUCAUACUCUGGAUUGGACUGAGGAACGCAGCGAAUGCCUUUAGGCAAGAUUGCUGGGUGCUUUCGCUAAUAAAUGUUAGAAUUUCUGCUUCGGGUGGUGCUAAUGUUUAAAGGAGGAACUCAUCUAGUAUAUUUUUUAUUCGCUUAGGUUGUUGGCUUAAUGACUCUAAAUGAC
rnacentral:rRNA from 2 species